GAAAAAACUGCAGGAUGGAUCAGUUCUUUGGAAUGUACCUGCUUCUUGCUGUUGCCGUCCCUUUGGCUGUGAUUAUCAUGCUGCCCAGCGAAGCUGCAGCUCUCGGCGGCGCCAUCGGCGGCAUUAACUCCAUUGGCAUGCGAAAGAAAUAAACGACUGCUGGAAAUGA